GACGAACGCUGGCGGCGUGCCUAAUACAUGCAAGUUGAGCGCUGAAGGUUGGUACUUGUACCAACUGGAUGAGCAGCGAACGGGUGAGUAACGCGUGGGGAAUCUGCCUUUGAGCGGGGGACAACAUUUGGAAACGAGUGCUAAUACCGCAUAAAAACUUUAAACACAAGUUUUAAGUUUGAAAGAUGCAAUUGCAUCACUCAAAGAUGAUCCCGCGUUGUAUUAGCUAGUUGGUGAGGUAAAGGCUCACCAAGGCGAUGAUACAUAGCCGACCUGAGAGGGUGAUCGGCCAAAUUGGGACUGAGACACGGCCCAAACUCCUACGGGAGGCAGCAGUAGGGAAUCUUCGGCAAUGGACGAAAGUCUGACCGAGCAACGCCGCGUGAGUGAAGAAGGUUUUCGGAUCGUAAAACUCUGUUGGUAGAGAAGAACGUGGUGAGAGUGGAAAGCUCAUCAAGUGACGGUAACUACCCAGAAAGGGACGGCUAACUACGUG
rnacentral:rRNA from 1 species